rnacentral:rRNA from 1 species
AUUGAACGCUGGCGGCAGGCCUAACACAUGCAAGUCGAACGAGUGGCGGACGGGUGAGUAAUGUCUGGGAAACUGCCUGAUGGAGGGGGAUAACUACUGGAAAAGGUAGCUAAUACCGCAUACCAUCGGAUGUGCCCAGAUGGGAUUUGCUAGUAGGUGGGGUAACGGCUCACCGAGGCGACGAUCCCUAGCUGGUCUGAGAGGAGGACCAGCUACACUGGAACUGAGACAGGGUCCAGACUCCUACGGGAGGCAGCAGUGGGGAAUAUUGCACAAUGGGCGCAAGCCUGAUGAAGACAUGCCGCGUGUAUGAAGAAGGCCUUCGGGUUGUAAAGUACUUUCAGCGGGGAGGCGUUAACCGAAGAAGAAGCACCGGCUAACUCCGUGCCAGCAGCCGCGGUAAUUG